rnacentral:rRNA from 1 species
UACGGAGGGUGCAAGCGUUAUCCGGAUUCACUGGGUUUAAAGGGUGCGUAGGUGGGCAAGUAAGUCAGUGGUGAAAUCUCCGGGCUUAACCCGGAAACUGCCAUUGAUACUAUUUGUCUUGAAUACUGUGGAGGUCAGCGGAAUAUGUCAUGUAGCGGUGAAAUGCUUAGAUAUGAACAUAGAACACCAAUUGCGAAGGCAGCUGGCUACACAAAUAUUGACACUGAGGCACGAAAAGCGUGGGGAUCAAACAGG